rnacentral:tRNA from 1 species
GUCACGAUCAGUGUAAGGUUGAAAUCUGGAUGGUAUCCAGACACGUUGGUUCGAGUCCAGCUCGUGACA